AAAGCCCUUGCCUCAUUGAUGAUGCUCAUCUCUUGGGAGGUUUGGCCCGAGAGAAACGCUCGAGUCUUCCGCAACGUGGCGGUUCCAUCGGUGGUCAUCAUCAACAAGAUCAAGUAUGAGGUGUCGCUUUGGCUUUGGCGGGUGCCAAGCACUUGA
rnacentral:rRNA from 1 species